ensembl:snoRNA SNORA70 Small nucleolar RNA SNORA70
CUGCAGCCAGUUAAGUUGAUCGAGCUCUUUUCCUCAUGGAGGCUUGGUGUGCAAUGACUGCAAACAGCAGGUUCCUUGGUAGUGUACGCAGCCUGUUUCUUGUAUGGGUUGCCUCUAAGGGUCCUUGGAGAUAGCC